GACGAACGCUGGCGGCGUGCUUAACACAUGCAAGUCGAACGGAAAGGCCCUGCUCUUGCUGGGUGCACGAGUGGCGCACGGGGGAGUAAAACGUGAGUAAACCGUACCUGUAUUUCGGAUAACAUUAGGGAAAUGGGGCUCUAAUACGGUAGGAGCUACUGCACCACGGGGGGGGAUGGUAAGAUUCGGCUGUUGGGGAUGGUUUGGCGGCUUAUGCGCUUGUUAGUGGGGUAGUUGCGUACCAAGGCUGUGACGGGUAGCCGGCCUUGGAGGGUGACCGGGCACAAUGGGACUGAGGGACGGAGCAGACUCCUACGGGAGGCAGUAGGCGGGAGUAUGGCACAAUGGGCGGAAGCCUGAUGUAGCAACGCCGCGAGCGGAAUGACGGCCUUCUGGUUGUGAACCGCUUUCGCCGGUGACAAAGCGGGAUUGACGGUAAUGAGUCAAGAAGCACCGGCUAACUACGUG
rnacentral:rRNA from 1 species